rnacentral:misc_RNA from 1 species
UACUCUCACACUUCUGAUCUUUGGGUUGGGAGUGGUGGACUUGGGUUUUGCUGCUUAACUGUGGCUUACCUCAAAUGGAUCCAUGCAACUCUUGGUUGGACAUAGUACAGUGUGAUAAGUGUCUUCGCCAGCACCUCAUAAUUGAGGGUGGCUGAUUGGGAGCUCUGUGCUUCAAACCAUCUUUGGACAAUGACUGACA